CAGGAGCGGGACAGCCCUUUCACCCCGUCAGGACACGGCCAUGCAGCGCAGCACAGCACAGGCACACAGAGCCACCGGCACAAAAAGCACAUUUUCACACAGAUUAGUAGUCAGGCCACGGAUAGUUCCUCACAGUUGUUAAUGAGGCUGCGAAGGGAGCAACACAGAUGUCCACUCUGGUGAGACCAAUUACUUACUGAGCUAAAAAGCCCUCAGCUCUGAGUCAGACCACUGUAGAGAGGCCGACUGCUAUAUGAGAGGUCCUGCUCUGGCAAAAACACAACAGCGAGAAGGUGGUGAGAGAAACUGAAGCGGCUGUGUUGCUCUUCACUGCGGGCAAAGUCAGAUGUGGCAUGUGGCAUCAAACCCAAGAGUCUACUAUCAGUCCAACAAGAGACAACACCAGCUGAUUUCAAUUAAUAAUUGAAAUCAGACAAAUAACCACCCUCAUGUUUUUUUUCAAAGAAGGAUAUACACUUGAUUUGAGUGAGGAUAAUCAAACACUCACUGCUGUGAUGAACUUGGUGCCCUGGGGCUGGAGGUCCUCGUCCUUCUGGAACAUCGCAGGAGACGUGAUGGAGGAGGGGGGCGUGGAGGAGCACAGGAAGGAGGGGGGGUCGUUGUUGUUGUAAGAGUCCAUGACUGUGCUGGAGUGCCCGGGUAUGGUGAGGGUACUCAGCCCUGUUACACUGUCACUGGACGUACACUGGGAGGACGUCUCAGAGCUCUCGAUCUACUAGCAAACUACAGCUGAAUCAGGUGCUUUUCAUUUUGAGGACAGCAAACUUACAGAAGAAAAAAGGGGAAGUGGAGCGUGGAGUCAACAUCGAUGCUGACUGAC